CAUGCUUCAGGGAGUGACAUCAGUCUGGUGGGAAAACAACAAACACCAAAGAGAUGGAUUGCUUUGUGCCUGCCUCACCUCACCUCACUUCCUGUGAGUCACUUCCUGUCCCAGGCCCAGGAUCCUGCUGUCCUGUGGCUGAUGUCAUGGCAGCUUUCCACUCCAGCCUAUGGAACAUAAACAUCUGGCCAUAAGAUCAUAAACCUGAGGCGAGUGCCAGUAUUCUGCUGCAGCCCACCCCGUCAGCCCUGUUACGACCAACGUCUCAGCCCUACAGCAUCGGUUCCUCCGUAAUUCAUUUCAAUGCCAUGGCGCUCAUGCUCAACAUCUUCAAGUCGACACCUCAUGGGUGUAUGUUCGCAAAGGGGCAGGAAAUGCCGGAGCGAGGUCGUCAGGCGAAGAGGAGAAAAGUAUCGAGGGGGGUAAAGGUCAAAGUUAAAAGCGCAAGGGCAAUGGGCAUAUUUCAACAUUCAUUUCCCCCCUAAUUCAUCCUCCGAGCUUUCGUUGCACGGCUUUUUUUCACGUCUCUUCUUUCAUUCGGUUCCGCCCCAUUUGUUCCCGUCGGCCGCCUGUUGACAGCGAGCGCUGCUCUAAUAGCCUGCUGUGGGAAAGUUAGUGCUGCGUCCGAACACCAGAAUCUAUCCGACGGCACCGUUGAAAGAUCGCGGAUCCGAACAGAUGUGCGAGAAGGGAUGGGAAUGUUUGGUUAGGGUGAAACAUUGGCGCUUUCUCUUUUUUUUGGACAGAAACGGUCUGCAGCUCCCCAGAGCUGUAAUUGCACAUCUUUGCUCUGUUCCAAAACCUAGAGAGGUGCCUUUUAAGGCAUAAUGUAAUGGAUUUAUUGGUCCCUUGUAAGAUGUAGUAAGAUUUCAAAAGCAGCAUUAUAUGCGUGACAUAUAUAUAUACACAUAAUAUAAAGAAUGCAUAAUUAUAUAUUUAAAUAUAUGUAUAUAAAUAAGUAAGCAAUUCAGUGUUAGUUUUUAAGAAAAAUAAACGGGAUCAUAGAAAUUGCGUUUUGUUAUUCUUUGUUUAGUACUUCCAUAAACAAGCUGACAGAUAUUUACAUAUAGUUCACACUACACCA